UGUUUUAUUUUCUAUAGUUUGAGCUUAAUGUCUGCUAAAACAAGAUUGUGGUCACUUGCUAUUUAUUUCCCUUGGUACCUACGUGGUACGAAAAUUAAUAAAUCACAGGGCUUGGAAUGGUCUAUCUAAGUUUUGUGUACUUUGUGAUUUAAAAUGAAUGAAUAGAUUCUAGUUUCGGAAAGACUUUUGCGGUUUGAAAAUAAGGGGGCAAAUUGAGUUACAAACAUUUAGAACUGCAGCGGCCCAUAUACAUCCUAUCAGUUUCUAACUUGCAGAUUAUUGUUGCUGAAAACAAAACAAAGAUUGAAAAAAAAA
rnacentral:lncRNA from 1 species